GGGCCCGCACAAGCGGAGGAACAUGUGGUUUAAUUCGAUGAUACGCGAGGAACCUUACCUGGGCUUAAAUGUAGGCUGCAUUCCGCUGAAAGGCGGAUUUCCGCAAGGACUGCUUACAAGGUGCUGCAUGGUUGUCGUCAGCUCGUGCCGUGAGGUGUCGGGUUAAGUCCCAUAACGAGCGCAACCCCUACCGUUAGUUGCCAUCAGGUCAUGCUGGGAACUCUAGCGGGACUGCCACCGUAAGGUGAGAGGAAGGUGGGGAUGACGUCAAAUCAGCACGGCCCUUAUGUCCAGGGCUACACACGUGUUACAAUGGCAGGUACAAAGGGCAGCUACACCGCGAGGUGAUGCUAAUCUCUAAAGCCUGUCUCAGUUCGGAUCGCAGUCUGAAACCCGACUGCGUGAAGUUGGAUUCGCUAGUAAUCGCGCAUCAGCCAUGGCGCGGUGAAUACGUUCCCGGGCCUU
rnacentral:rRNA from 1 species